AUGCACAGUUCAUUGUCCUGCUCCUCUUCUGUUUGGAACAGUGAUAUUUCUUCUGUGCUAAAGUAACAUGGAGGUCAAUUAGCAGAGCGGCUAAUGUGCUUCCUCUGCCAGUCCCCUUCAGACACUA